UUUCGUUUGUGCUCUUGAGUUCCAGCUUAUUCACAUCAGGUUAAGCUGGUCCUCGCUCUCUACUUCCUGCCCGUAUUUUCUUCCUCCCUGCCCACCCUGUUGACCUCAAGCCAGCACCACAGGCAGAAGCAACAGCUGUUUACAAGCCAGCCAGCCACCUCCCACAGCGGCAUGAGGAAUUUGGCAGAGGAGCAGCUUCAGAUGCCUGAUGGUGUACUACUAUUCGGUCGAGGCCAUCAAUCAACAGAAUUGCAGAAUGACGUGAGGAACACUUGGCUUUUUUAAUAUUUGGAGGAAAUAUGCAGUCCCUGUUGCUGAACAGUUGCUUCCUCACACCCUACCCUAUCAGGCGUGGUGGCAGCCGUAUGCAGUUGUUGGUGGAAAAGAUCAUUCUGAGUGAAAUAUCCCAGAAGGAGAAGGACAAACACGUUCCUGAAAUGGUGCCUCCUGCAUUCUUCUCUCCCAAGAUAAAUACUGUCACAGACACACCUAAGGCUGCAUCUACCAGAUCUGGCUUUUGGCUCCUGUGAUAUGUCAGAAAGAAGAAAAAGAAAGAUUGCUGAACACAUGAGCUGCUUCCUGAAUCUUGGAGACUUUUGUAAGAACAGCUUAGACCUUCCAUCUGAAGCACAACACAGGGAUUGAAGCAGAAGAGGGGACAGUUUUUCCUUCUGGCUGGACAGAGCAUUACCUCGGAGCAGUCAGGAAAUGUUCCUCUUCUAUCUUAUAUGUAAGAUUAAAAAUAAAAAAUGCAUGACUUCCAGGUAAUCUAGUACACAGAUUACAAUUGGAGCGUACAGUCAACAGAAAUGUA